rnacentral:rRNA from 1 species
UACAGAGGGGGCAAGCGUUAUUCGGAAUUAUUGGGCGUAAAGGGCGCGUAGGCGGCCUGGCAAGUGGAUGGUGAAAUCCCUCGGCUUAACCGAGGAACUGCCAUCCAGACUGCUUGGCUUGAGACCGGGAGAGGUGAGUGGAAUUCCCAGUGUAGCGGUGAAAUGCGUAGAUAUUGGGAGGAACACCAGUGGGCGAAGGCGGCUCACUGCCCGGUACUGACGCUGAGGUGCGAAAGCGUGGGGAGCAAACAGG